AGAGUUUGAUCCUGGCUCAGAAUCAACGCUGGCGGCGUGCCUAACACAUGCAAGUCGAACGCGAAAGUCCCGCAAGGGAUCAGUAGAGUGGCAAACGGGUGAGUAACGCGUGGGUGACCUGCCUUCGAGCGGGGGAUAACGUUUCGAAAGGAACGCUAAUACCGCAUGACAUCCUGCCCUUUAACGGGUGGAGAUCAAAG
rnacentral:rRNA from 1 species